rnacentral:rRNA from 1 species
UAAAGUCUGGCCUGCCCACUGAUUUAUUUUAAAGGGCCGCGGUAUACUGACCGUGCGAAGGUAGCAUAAUCAUUAGUCUUUUAAUUGAAGGCUUGUAUGAAUGGUUGGACAAAAAGCAAACUGUCUCAGUUGUAAUAAUUGAAUUUAACUUUUGAGUGAAAAGGCUUAAAUAAGUUAGGGGGACGAUAAGACCCUAUAAAGCUUGACAAUAAGCCGUUUAUAUUAUAAAUUGUUAGUAUAACUUGAUUUUAAAUGGUGUUUGUUGCGUUGGGGCGACGAGAAUAUAAAAGAUAACUGUUCUUAUAAUAUUUAAUAACAGAAAUAGCUGGAAAAUUAAUGAUCCUUUCUUUAAGAUCAUAAGAUUAAGUUACUUUAGGGAUAACAGCGUAAUCUUCCUUGAGAGUUCAUAUCGACAGGAAGGGUUGCGACCUCGAUGUUGAAUUAAGGUAUCCUUAUAAUGCAGCAGUUAUAAAGGAAGGUCUGUUCGACCUUUAAAUCCUU